AGUGAACGCUGGCGGUAGGCCUAACACAUGCAAGUCGAACGGCAGCACAGUAAGAGCUUGCUCUUACGGGUGGCGAGUGGCGGACGGGUGAGGAAUACAUCGGAAUCUACUUUUUCGUGGGGGAUAACGUAGGGAAACUUACGCUAAUACCGCAUACGACAUACGGGUGAAAGCAGGGGAUCUUCGGACCUUGCGCGAUUGUCUGAGCUGAUGUCGGAUUAGCUAGUUGGCGGGGUAAAGGCCCACCAAGGCGACGAUCCGUAGCUGGUCUGAGAGGAUGAUCAGCCACACUGGAACUGAGACACGGUCCAGACUCCUACGGGAGGCAGCAGUGGGGAAUAUUGGACAAUGGACGCAAGCCUGAUCCAGCCAUACCGCGUGGGUGAAGAAGGCCUUCGGGUUGUAAAGCCCUUUUGUUGGGAAAGAAAAGCAGCAUGUUAAUACCCCGCUGUUCUGACGGUACCCAAAGAAUAAGCACCGGCUAACUUCGUG
rnacentral:rRNA from 1 species